rnacentral:lncRNA from 1 species
ACUAUACGGACGUCACAGCGAUAUCGCGCGUGUUGUGCAACACAAUACACAAUCCAGUUGUGAACAUGCACAAUUGCACGACAUGUUUUUUUUUGCCUCCCGCGUUCUUUAUGCGUACGUUAAAUAGCGUUUUCAUCUUGUUCGUGGUAACGUUCACCGUCGUGGUUUACUGCUCUAUUAUAAGUAAAUAUACAAUCACAAUACAAAUAUAAAAUAUUCUAUAUUAUACCUGUACCUGUACAUAAUAUUAUUAUUGUUAUAUCUGUUUUCAUCGCAUUCGUGGGUACGUACAGAUCCGUAACGAGAUUUCUCAACGCUUCUGGCCCAGGGCUGCUAAAUACCUGGGCUUUAUUGAAAAAAAAUCUACCCAGUCGGGUUUCGUCGGAUUUUUUUCUUCAAUAAAUGUCCAAAAACCCUCUCCACUCCUUUAUCCAGAAAAAAACUCCGUCGGUUUUAUCGUCAAUUUAAAAGGAGUCAUAUUGCCGCCUUAACGUUUCAUUCGUUAUAUUCCUAACUUUGCGUCUAACUCGGCUUCGGUAUAGAGCGAAUUUUUCCGACGUCCGGUCUCAUACAAAAUAAUCUACAAUAUUUGAUGAGUCAUGAAAAGGCAGUCGAAACAGUUAAAAUGCAUAGAUUAUAUUAUAUACAUACCUAAACAUCUCAGUCAAAACUUGAAAAUUGUUUUUAAACUGUUAAGGAACAUUGCAAUGUAACAAAUAUUUACUUAAAUCAGAGUUGAGCUUUUGAACAGCCAAAUUCGUUUAAGUUAAUCGAGUGGUUCCAACCCUAACCUAUCUAUUUGAGAUUUAACCGUUCUGUGAUCUUUGUUUAGAUUAUUUCUUAGCUGUUUACAUUUUAGACAUUUUACAAAAAGUUUAAUAAACUUGUUUUAUUUUUUUAUUUUAUAAUAAAUGACGUGUUGAGUAUGUUCUUAUUACUAUAAUUUAAUUAAUUAAUUUGUUUAUUCAAUGGUAAUACGUGUUGUAUUGUAAAUUGCAAUACAAUACAACGAUUUUAUUUUGUUAUUAUCGUAAUUGCAAAGUUGUCUUGGUACUUAUACUUGUAAACAAUAAUAAAUAAAUUGGCUUUCUAAUAAAAGCGAAAUUAGAAAAAAAGAAUUCUGAAAAAAAGCCCGAGGAUUUCAUUAAAUAAAUAUAAAGUGAGUUUAACCCAGACAAGUAGCCCGGAUUGUUUCGGAUUGGACUUUUUCGUGCCAACCCUCUGGCCGCACGAAAAGUGUCAUGGCUUUUAUUAUUGCUUUCCUCCCUACUUAUUUUUAUUUCUAUGAAAAUUUUAUGUUUCUAAAUUAUAUAUUCUAGAUUUUACGCCCGUUCUGAGAUGGUCCGAGCUAAUCUUGGUGAGUUCUAGUUACGGCUAUAAGUAUACACUUACGUCGUGAUUUUAUAAGUUUGACAGUAUUCUUCACAAUUUGUUCGUUCAGUCGACAUUUUAUAGAAAAUCCGAAACGUACCGUGUUACAUAUCUGACGAUAAAAUAUUCGAGCAGCAACAAUAAUAAUAUUAUAUAUAUAUACAGAAUGUCCCACGAUGGAACAGACCCAUCUCGUGAUCUCCUGAAUUCAUGAAGAUAUUUUCAAUAUGACUCGCUGAAAUAAAUAUUACAAAUAUUCAAUUAAGUUUUUAUGUUUUCGUAAAUGAUUUUAAAAAAAUAAUUUUUAUUUUUGAAACAUUUAACGAUAGCCAUUUUAUAAGGUUUGUUAUUCUUAAAAUACAUAGCAUUUAAAUUUCAUUAUUUACAUGACCCUGAUUUGAUUUUUUUUUUUUAAUUUUUCUUCACAAAAAAAUAGUUCUUAGAUAUUUUGAUAUUAUCAUAAAAGUUAUUAUUAAACAAAAUCUAUCAAAAACGAGAUGAGAUAAUUUCGAAACAAUAAAAACUUAAAACAUCAAUAUUUUAUCUGUACAUUUUUCGAAAAUUAUGAAAUAAUGUUAUUUUUUCGUUAUAUUUAACAAAAUUCACAAAAAUUUAAAGUUUUUAUUCUUGUGAUAAAAACAAAAUUUGAACAUAUUUAUUAUCUCAGGAGAUAUCGCAUUGGGUAUACCUUCACGCCCUGAAUACAAUAUAUCGACUACACGCGUAGGUUAUACAAUAUACAGGUAUAACCUUCCUACCUGAACGUGUAAAUAUUUCAGAAUUAAUUCAAACCCAGUUGUCGACGUUUUAGUUGCGAAUCCAAAGAAAGGCGAGUAAUUCUUAUACGCGUUUUAUGUUCUUCUGUAAAAAAAUAACGUACAAGUUAAAUAAUAACGUUACUAAAAAUAUGUAUACACGUACUCUCGGUUUUAUAAAAAAAAAAAAUACGAGUACAUUAUUCAUAGGACUAUUUUUUUUAAUUUGUAUUUUCUAUAGAAAUGCAAUGUUCUUCUAUACCAGUGAUUUUCAAAUUGUGCUUUGUAGAAUCCUAUGGUUUCAUGAAAUUAUAUUAGGAACCCAUACAAACUCUUACUAAUGAAAUUUAUUUAUUUGAUAGUCGUUUUCACAAAACUAACCGAAGGGAGCUACAAAUUAAAAUUACCAUAAAUUUUUAAACAAAAAAAUAAUGUAACAAAGCUACAUCUUUGAGAAAAAAAAAAUCGAAUUUUAAUUGAGUCCGUUUCUUAAAGUAAAAUUGACUGUUUUUCUCUAUUAAAAGAAUAUUUAAAAUCAAUUUAGGAAAUAUUGAUGAAUUUGACGAAGUAAAAAACGAAAUUACCAUUCCUGGUUUUCGGUGCUCCGUACAUUUUUUUUAACUACAUAAAAGUUGCGUGAACAAAAAAAGAUUGAAAAACAUUGUUCUACACCAAUGACGUAUGAAUUCGUUCGUACGAUUCCAAUUCUACAAUAAUAGUAUAGGUAACUUAUACAAUUAUAAUUAAUCAACGGUUUUUUUAGUUAAAAAAGUAUUCCGACAGUUUAAUUUGUUAUAGUUAAAAUGUCUUUACAUAAUAUAUUAUACCACAAUCAUAAAAUCAUAAAUUAAAAACAAAAAUCCAUUAAAACGGUGUACUUAAUUGUAUGUAAAAAUAAUAGUCGAAUGGAGAAAUGCUUAUGGGCUUUAUCGGAUUUUGAGAUGCGUGUUGUUUCGAAAUGCGUGGCGUUAGUAUCAGAAAUAUGCCUUUUAGAGGAUUUAACUUUGGAACAUUGCCAUAAUCAUUUUAAUGACCGGAUUUCUCCAUUAUUUUUUUAUAUUUCUAAAUAACUUGUAUGUUUGAGUAGGUAUAGGCUAUACCGUAUGGCAAAAAUGACUGUUCUAUAAUUAUAGGAUUCGGUUAUUUAUUGAUUUACAGAGAACAUUUCUAUAUCUAGUGCAUACCGGAUGGUGUGAAAUUCGACUCUACUGACGGAACUCUUUUAACGUGUCACUAACAUAUUCUAACAUUUUAAUAAUGUUAAUUUGUACAUUUUAUUUGCACUGUAUUUUUGACUACGCCCGUUUUGUGUAUCUGAUAUCAGUAGUGUACAGUCACAAACAAUAAACCUAUAUAACAUGUCUACCUAUAUGUGACUUGUGAAUAACGCUCGACUAUUUUAAUUAUAUAUAUAGUUUGCUUUACUUUAUCUAUUGCGUUGCGUUCCUAUCGGCAACAUGGAAUAAUAUGAGUUUAAUUAUUUACCAUUUAAUUUAAAGAAAUUUGCAUUAUUCCCGAUAAGGUCGUUAAUGAAUAAGUAUUACGAACAAAGGCCAUUUGAUUUAGGUCUUGGGGGUGUAUUAAUUUAUUUUAAAACGGUUAUUCUUUAUGGCCGUGCAAGAAUACUCGAAAAAUAAUUUAAAAUAGCGUAUAAUACAUACAGGGUUAAUUAAGUAUUUUAAAAUAUGCAAAUGGGGAAUCCAGGGUUAUGCAAAGAAUCUUGUUGUUUUUUUGAUAAAAACAAAAAAAAAAAAAAAAAAAAAAUAAAAAUGAAAUGUUUCUCGAGAAAAAUGUAAAAAAUAUCAAAGCUGAACAAGUUAGUAAAUAAUAUAGACUUACCUCUGUUAAGGUAAUUGAAAAAAUGUUAAUGAGUUAAAAGCGUAAUUAUUAAUUAAUCGAAUCGGGUUAAAAGUCGGCUUAAAAAUUGAAUCGACUUAUUAUCUAAAGUUAUUUUGUUAGAGUUUUUAUUUGUUUUGUCGAUUUGUUUGGAUAAACAUAAAACAUUGUCAUUUUUUGAAAACAAGAAUCAUCAGUAAUGCAUCUAUUAAUGUUGAACAUACGACGAAAUCAAUUAAUGUCAAUAAUUAUACUCAUCGUACUAUACGUACAUUAUUAAGUAAACAAAAACAUGUUUAUACGAGUAUAAUACUACGUACACACUGAAUAUAAAAUUGUAUUAGGCAAUGUAUAGAUUUUAAAAGCAAUUCUUGUUGAAAUCGACUUAACGUGUUAUAAUUCGAAAUAACCUCGGUUAUACACUCAUUGAGUUGAUAUAAAUUAAAAUAAAAUAGUAAUUCAAUUACAAUUACAAAUAGUAAGACAACUUUUGAAAAUAUUUACACAAAUUCUAUAAACUAUAGGUAUAAAAAUCGAUAAUUAUUUUUAUUUUGUUCUAAUGUGAUCGAAAAUAUUAUUGAAAUUAAUUGCAUUAUUUGUUUGUCCUGACUGUUUUUUAUAAAUAUAAAUGGGCGGCACCAAAAACUCAGAUUCGAUACUCGAUACCUAUACUCGAUUCUCGAUAGGUUUGUAUCAAAAUAGAAACAUCAUAAGGUAUAUUAAUUAUGAACAUUAUUAACCAUUACACAAAAAUUAUCUAAAGUUUCGAUAGAUGUCCGUCAUUCACGCCGCCAUUGCGCAUCGUCCGUCCCUAGUGUUAACAUUGACGAGCAACAAGGAUAAACGAGAAUUUUUAUUUUUUUUUUCGCUCCGUACACGCAGAUAUGCCUACCAUCAUCAAAACCGAGACUUACGAAGUGGACGCCACCGCGGACGACAGCAUCAGCCGUCACAAUAACCAGAAGAUUUCAGAUAAUAUAUCCGGCGAUAUAAUAACAGGACACCGCGAAUACCGGCCGAUAGAUCAGUCGGACGAUAUCAAUAAUUCGGACGAAUAUUAAAACAUAUAUAAAAAUAUAUAUAUAUUAUUUUAUUGUGAUGAUAUAUGUUUUUUAAAAAAAAAAAAAAAAAAAAUUAAAAACAACAACAACAACGGUUGGAUACAAUGCGAUAUACAAUACGCGUAAUUAGCGGAACACGUUGUUUUUUAUUAUUAUUAUUAUAAAGUAUAUGGCAAUUUUUUUAUUAUUAUUUUUUUUUUUUUUGUAAUAAUAACGUAAUAAGAUGGUGUGCGUGUGUAUUACGUAGGGCAACUAUUAUUAUAUUAUUAUAUAUUAUGUACGUAGGUAUAUAGGUGGCACGCAUUUUUCUCAUUACCUAGCCGCGCUGCACACAUUACUCGACCAUCAAAACGGCUUAACGGAUUGUUGAAAAACCCUUUUCUUUCGCUAUAUAGCAGCCUGUAAUUUACACACAAACGCGGCCGUUAAAACGAAAAAAGAAAAAGCGUCCACGCCAUGAUACUAUACCUAUAAUAUAACCUACCUGUAUUAUGUAAGAGCUGACGAUAAAAAAAAAAAAAAUAAUAAUAAAUAUUUAAACCCACACACCCCGACUACAACCCGAUGUCAUGGAAAAAUUGUUUAAUAUUUUAUUAUUAAUAAUCCCUCACAGAGAGUUCAUUAAACGUCACUACAAACUAUAUUAUAGCGAUUUAACGAUAAAAAAUGUAUAAAAUAAAAAAGUUAGUAGGUAUAUAUUAUUAUUAUUAUACAAGGUGGAAUGGUAUUACAAAGGUGCAGGUUAUUGCGAAGUAAAUUCGCCCACUUAUCAGGUGUAGAUAAUAUUGUUUUAUUAUUUCGGAACGUGUUUGUAAUAAAUGUUUAAAAUGUUGUGACUUGUAUUUAAAAUUUGUAAAAUUUCACAAAAAUGUUAAAUACCUUGGUGAUUUUAAUAAAUAUGUAAUAUUAUUUUAUUAUUAUCAUCCGGACUUGUCGUUUCACAAUCAUUAAGUGUUUAGACAUAGUAUGUUAAUUUUACUAAUUGUUUGAAGACGGACAACAAUACCACCUUCAUAAUAUUAAUAAGUGAGAGUAAUAAGCAUUUAUUAUUAUUAUAAACAUUUUAGCAUUUCAAUAGGUAUUUAAAAGUAUUUAAUGGCGUUUUAAAACCACGUUAGUUUAAUAGUAACAAUGUAUUAGAUUUUUUUCAGCACUCGUCAUCACAGUUUAGAUUCGAGAACGUUAUUUUAAUAAGAAGCGGGAUGUGUAUUGGUUUUACUAAAAUGUACACGAAUUUUCUGUCUGUGAACAAUUUUCCUAUCAGAAAUAUUGCUCCGAACAAAAUAUGCGGUAAUAUUUCUUUUUGUUUUUUGAAUUUUUGAUUUAGUUGGUUCGUUGGGUGAUCAUUUUUAGAUUUUCAAAGCGGUUUUCUUAAUAAUCGGAAAAAACCGAGAAAAAAUAACGUAUAUAAAAAAAAAAAAAAAAAAAAAACGUAAAAAAUCAAUAAUAUAAUGCACGACUGUACAUUUAUUUGCAUUUGUACACUGUUGAUUUCAGCUAAAUUUUCGUAAAAUCAGUAAAAAUGGAUUGGAGAAUUGUUGCUACUGGGAAACCAAAUAGGAUUACUUCGAUAUAUUUUCCAUUUUACGCUGGCAAUUUUUCGUUUAAAUUAAAUUAUUAAGAUUAAAUUUUAAAAAAAAAUGUACAUUAAUAAUUUCAUUAACAUCUGUUAAAUCUGUAAUCAAAAGAUAUCAUAAUAGACAAGUUUAUAAGUUAAUACCGU